rnacentral:rRNA from 1 species
UACGGCGGGUGCGAGCGUUGUCCGGAAUCACUGGGCGUAAAGGGCGCGUAGGCGCCCUGGCAGUCGGUGGUGAAAGCCCGUGGCUCAACUGCGGGUCGGCCACCGAUACUCCAGGGCUCGAGUUUGGUAGAGGCAGAUGGAAUUCCGGGUGUAGCGGUGGAAUGCGUAGAGAUCCGGAAGAACACCGGUGGCGAAGGCGGUCUGCUGGGCCAAGACUGACGCUGAGGCGCGA